AUCACUUCUCAGCCUUUUGGCUAAGAUCAAGUGAAGAAAUAUAUACACAUAUUAGCCGUUGUUAACACACGCUGUCAUUUGCUAAAUUUUUUGUUGUUGUUGUUUUCGUUUUUGUUUUGAGACAGGGUCUUGCUCUGUCACCCAGAGCUGGAGUACAGUG
rnacentral:snRNA from 2 species